rnacentral:misc_RNA from 1 species
GUAUUGAAGUAGACGAUGUCCGGCUGUAUCUCGGCCUCGACGGCCGCGAUAGUCCGCCGCAUCUUCUUGGAGUCAAGGUACGCCUGCUGCAGGGGCAAACGCCUGAAGAGCGCGGCACCCGCACGAAGCACUGCCCAACGGCGCCGUAGCGGUACUCCGAUAGCGCGGAAGGGAAGCGCUUCAAGAUCUCGUCGUUCGUCCUCGCUCCAGUAGGCAGCGACGAGAACUACAUCGUGAUGUUCGCUCAAGCCCGACAAGAGCCCAAGACUCCGUGGCCUCCGAGGCGAAGGCACCCACGGAGCGAUAGCAAGAAUUCUCUUCCGACCACCGCCCU